UCUCGUUUUUACUUCCUUGUUUCCGUCUCGCUUAACUUCCUUAACUUCCCCUUGUUCCGAGGAUACUUUUCCGUCGCUCACCUGACCACGGCUCCCCGCGAAACGGCGACUUCUGCGGGGGACGGACGGCGGAAAACGAGCAACAGAUGGGCGCAGGCGCAUUGGGAGCAGCGGAGACAGCGCCGGUACACCUGUGCACCCAAGCGGUCAUUUCAUGAGACAUACCUGCCAGCUGACUGCCACCACUGGAAACAACACAUUUUCCUCAAUGCAUCUCUUCACAAUUCCAGCAAAAAGUAAAGGCAGUCCCUGGCCCGCCACCGUUUUCCUCAUGCCUGGCUUCACCACGUCGGUGAUCUUCAUGUUGCAUGUGUUGCCAUCGAUGGUGGACACGGUCACUGAGCAUCCACACAACGACUGCAGAGAAAACAAGAGAAACAACGCUUGCGAGAGAUCUUCAUCCGCUUGGUGCAGCCAUGGAAGACCUCCUCCAGGGAGACCCUGAGCUCGUGGACGAUGGCCGGGUCCUGCUUGCACCGCUGCUGUUGAUGUUGCCCGCCUUGGCCAGAGUGCACGUCCCGUGGGAAUCCGUUGAGGUUGAAGCUGCUGAAAGAGCCGAAGGGGUCGUUUCCAUCCACCUCCAUGUCCUCGUCGUCACGCGCGUUGCCCGCCUUGCGCCCAAAGAACAUCUCAAAGGGGUUGGAGCCGCCAAAGAAGGUGGCAAAGGUGGCGUGGGGGUCUCCAUGGAAGGUGUAUGUAAAGUUGUUGCCUUGACUGUCACCGGGUGGACCGCUUCCUCCCUUGAGUCCUGAAGGACAUUCCAAAUGAGACGGUUUAGCAUUCAACUCUAGAUAAUUUUCCUCCCUUUGUGGGUCACUACACACAAA